ACCGUCGUGAGACAGGUU
rnacentral:ncRNA from 2 species